GAUGAACGCUGACAGAAUGCUUAACACAUGCAAGUCAACUUGAACUUCGGUUUGGGCGGCGGACGGGUGAGUAACGCGUAAAGAACUUGCCUCACAGAUAGGGACAACAUUUGGAAACGAAUGCUAAUACCUGAUAUUAUGAUUUUAGGGCAUCCUAGAAUUAUGAAAGCUAUAUGCGCUGUGAGAGAGCUUUGCGUCCCAUUAGCUAGUUGGAGAGGUAACGGCUCACCAAGGCGAUGAUGGGUAGCCGGCCUGAGAGGGUGAUCGGCCACAAGGGGACUGAGACACGGCCCUUACUCCUACGGGAGGCAGCAGUGGGGAAUAUUGGACAAUGGACCAAGAGUCUGAUCCAGCAAUUCUGUGUGCACGAUGAAGUUUUUCGGAAUGUAAAGUGCUUUCAGUUGGGAAGAAAAAAAUGACGGUACCAACAGAAGAAGUGACGGCUAAAUACGUGCCAGCAGCCGCGGUAAUACGUAUGUCACAAGCGUUAUCCGGAUUUAUUGGGCGUAAAGCGCGUCUAGGUGGUUAUGUAAGUCUGAUGUGAAAAUGCAGGGCCCAACUCUGUAUUGCGUUGGAAACUGUGUAACUAGAGUACUGGAGAGGUAAGCGGAACUACAAGUGUAGAGGUGAAAUUCGUAGAUAUUUGUAGGAAUGCCGAUGGGGAAGCCAGCUUACUGGACAGAUACUGACGCUGAAGCGCGAAAGCGUGGGUAGCAAGCAGG
rnacentral:rRNA from 1 species